rnacentral:miRNA from 1 species
AGGAGAUCGGUGGUAGAUUGU